rnacentral:rRNA from 1 species
CGGGGUGAGUAAUGUCUGGGAAACUGCCUGAUGGAGGGGGAUAACUGCUGGAAACGGUAGCUAAUACCGCAUAACGUCGCAAGACCAAAGAGGGGGACCUUCGGGCCUCUUGCCAUCGGAUGUGCCCAGAUGGGAUUAGCUAGUAGGUGGGGUAAUGGCUCACCUAGGCGACGAUCCCUAGCUGGUCUGAGAGGAUGACCAGCCACACUGGAACUGAGACACGGUCCAG